GAAAAGGAAACCAGCAGCAGUCCCAGCUACCACAACGGAUCAGCCCCCAUUUGGCCAACAGGUGACUCUACCCCAGCGUCUUCGGUUCCCCCACCGCUGUGGGCCAGGUUCCCCCUCCAGGCUGCUGGGCUGGGACUGAGUCACUUCUUCCCAGGCUGUAAAUCCUGGGACUGCUGUGCAAGGCAGAGUCACUAGGGACGGACUCAGGCAGCAGAGCCGCGUUCUCAUGCCCCAGCCAGCCAGGCUCUCCUGGGAUCUGGGCUGGAAGGGGCUGCCGAGACCAUCAGUCAAAUCUUUGGUCUACAGGUGGGGAAACUGAGGCUCAAGGAAGGCUCUGCGUCCUGCUUUGUGUAAGGAGAGAGCUGGGCAGUGAGGCCGAGGGUCCUUCCUGGGCUCACAGUCCAAGUCGCAAGGAAUCACAUCAUUUCCAAGUACCCAUGGCAGAAGAGGGAGCCAUCCUCAAGGUCACCAAAGACCUAAGAGCUGCCGUCUCUGCCAUCCUCCAGGGCUAUGGGGAUGGGCAGGGGCCAGUGACAGACACCAGUGCU
rnacentral:sRNA from 1 species